GCACUCAAGCAGAAGGGGCGGGGCCUAUUGAGGGGACCAGCGAGAGCCGUAGACCCAGGGAGAUCAACGCAGAAACAAUGAGAACUAAGCAGAGAGGGUGACUAGAGGUAUACUGGAGUCUGAUGCUAGUUACACAUCUCUGGACUGGGGAGAAGAUGGCUUUGCGUUUGUGCCAGUUCUGGGCCUGUUUCUCAUAUCUGUUGCUCUCCUUCCCCGUCUCUGUUCCAUAUCCCAGGUCCCCAGCUGCUGCCUCUCUCAUGCCUGCAGGACUUCACACACACUCCUCCAUCCAUCUGAAUGUGGUAAGCAAAGACUGGUCUGGGGGGCUGCUCCUUCAGGCUGAGACACAGAAGGUGAAGACGUAUGGAACAGGACCUGCAGCUGUCAUGUACCCCCGGAAACGGACCUCUUGAGCAUGGGACAACCAGAUGCUGUGGGUACAGCCUGCCUUCCAGGCACCAGGUGAAAAGAAGAGAUGCCCAACAUCAGACUUCAACACCAAGAGGAAUUUACUAGAAGGAUGGAGGAUGUGUCACAGAAUCCAAGACUGACUGGCUCUUCUUGGUAUGCACGGUGGGAAAUGUCCACGGCCAACAGCUCCUGUGUUUACAUCACCUUCGUUCAAGAGCACAGCCAGAGUCAGGCAGCAAGGCUUCAGCUCCAUUCCAGCAUCCUGGAGAUGGGAUGUGAUUGGCUCAGCUUGGGCCAGGUGUUCUCCCUGACCAAUCGUCUGUGACCUGGGGGAGGGGCAGAAUCACAGGUGUGUUUGGCUCUUCUUCUCUCCGCCCUGUGGAUACAGGAGGUGUGGGACCAUUCCUAGAAAACGGACACUGGGCAGGCGGUAGACAGAAGGUACCAUCUACGUGUGGUUUGUCCACUGUCACUCAGCCAGAAAAUGGCACACCAAGUCUAAAUUCUUGGACUGCUACGUUCUUUCCACUUUGUUCCAUUUCAGCGUUAUGAAAUGAAGGUCAUUGUGCCCAAGGGACGUCAGAGGUGAGGACCAGAGCCUUAGAUUGCAACGAGGGUUCGGAGAGCUGAAGGCAGUGAGUAGAACAAUGCUUCCCAAUGCGGGCCUCCCUGCCAGACGAUAAACUGGGCAGGAUUCUAUGUGUCUCGCAUGGGUCCUGGCAGGCGGCAGUACUUGGUAAUUAUUUUUUUAAUGAGUGAAUGAAGGACUGUGCUUCUGAAGCACUUGUAGAACUUGAUAAAAAGAAAGAUUAAAAAAGUAACAUUUAUUGAGCACUUAUUCUAAGACUUUGCAUGUAUUAAAUCAUUAAUCAUCAAAUCAAUGAGCAGAAUAUUAUUAUUCCCCUUUAUAGAUAAGAUACUGAGGCACAGAAAGGUUGAGAAAUUCGCCCAAGUUCACUGCACUAGUGGCAGAACUAUCGGAAAUCUAAGCGGCCUCGCUCCAGAGCCUCCACACUCAACCACUGCACCUUACAGCCUCUCAAGAUGUCAGCAGCCCGCCCCAGACUGGGAGAACCAGAGUCUCUCGGGCUGGGACCUGGGAAUCUGUAUUUGAACAAGUUUCACAGGUGACUCUGAUGCACAGCCAGAAUUCGACCUAAAACUGUGAAUCUAAAAAUUAGCAGGAAGCCUGGGGCCAUAUGACUAGAACAAAUGAGGCUGCCUCCAGGAUUUUAAAGUUCUUCUAAUCCUGUGAACAUAAGGCCUGCCAAAUAAUGCUGAUUGAUUGUAUCCCCUUUGUGAGGAGGGAACCCAAGCCCAGAUCAAUUACAAAGAACCCUCUGGGGCCCUGCGAGCAGAAGGCCAGCUCAGUGGACCUGCCUCAGUGGACCUUUUCCUAAGGGACUCCAGGCACAGGCCACCGUCCUCGGGAGAGCUGGACUGACCGUGUACCUGCCUAGUUCCUGGACUUUGAUCUCCCAUCUGACCUCCCUCUCGCCCCUGCUCUGAUCUGACAACUCCUGCUGGGUUGACCCCAUCUCUGACCCCAGCCUGCCCCAGUUUUCAGCCUCACUGCUCCAGACUGAUAUCUCACAUGAUGACAGCUCGAGGCAGGACAAUAUUCGUCUCGGCCGCCAAUAAUGGGAGCAAGACACCAUCUCUGCUAAUGAUGUAGUGACAAAUGGAAUAUUCCUGUCAAAAGAGCUGUGACUUUCAGAGUGGAAUUUAGUUAUCUUAAACCAACUCUGCAACCAUCACUGGGCAUGGGAUAUAGAAACAGUGAGAAAUAAAUAGCCCUUGGUACUAACCAGAUCGACAUUCUUUCAUUCGUUGAACAAAUGGUUAUUGAGAGCAGAUUCCAUGAUGGUUUCUGUGUUAGCCCUGAGGGCAAAAAAGAUGAACAAGACAUUGUCUCUGGCCCCAAGGAGUUCCCUUAGGCCCAAUUCUGCUGUGACAUCCAGAGAUGAUGCUUCAAAGAUUAGCCAACGGCUUAGACUAAAGAGAAGAAAGGCUGCAGGAUUAUAUUUUCAGAGAGGGGAUGGUUCCAGCUUUGUCUGAGGUUCCAAAGCCCCUCAAGUACUGGACUGGCCUAUGGAAGCUUGGGGGGGCUGGUAAUGAGCCUCAGAACACAAACACCUUUACAAAACC